rnacentral:misc_RNA from 1 species
CCAAACACUGUUCAUUUGGUCAUUUCUGCUCAGGUCCAGGACACUAAUUCCUGAUUUAAGUAAUUUUUAGACCAACUUAUGGCUAGUUUUUUUAUCAAGGUUUCUUCAUGAAAAAUGUGGCCUUAAGUCUUAUGUUUCAUCUCCAAUUGGCUUCACACCAAUUGGAAUUGUGUAACUCUAAUUAUGGCCAUUCAAAUCCACUGGACUCAAAGGCCCAUAAUUCAGCAGUUCAAUAACCAUUAAUUUUCUCAAUUCCAUCUAUCAAUUCUCAUUUCUAAACACACUAAAUGGCCAUAAUUUGUUAUGGAAAGUCAA